rnacentral:rRNA from 1 species
CAACUUUCAACAACGGAUCUCUUGGCUCUGGCAUCGAUGAAGAACGCAGCGAAAUGCGAUAAGUAUUGUGAAUUGCAGAAUCCAGUGAAUCAUCGAAUCUUUGAACGCACAUUGCGCCCGCCGGCAUUCCGGCGGGCAUGCCUGUUCGAGCGUCAUUU